rnacentral:rRNA from 1 species
CCUACGGGAGGCAGCAGUGGGGGAUAUUGCACAAUGGGGGGAACCCUGAUGCAGCGACGCCGCGUGGGUGAAGAAGCGCCUCGGCGCGUAAAGCCCUGUCAGCAGGGAAGAAAUGACGGUACCUGACGAAGAAGCCCCGGCUAACUACGUGCCAGCAGCCGCGGUAAUACGUAGGGGGCAAGGGUUAUCCGGAUUUACUGGGUGUAAAGGGGGCGCAGACGGCGAUGCAAGCCAGGAGUGAAAGCCCGGGGCCCAACCCCGGGACUGCUCUUGGAACGGCGUGGCUGGAGUGCAGGAGGGGCAGGCGGAAUGCCGGGUGUAGCGGUGAAAUGCGUAGAUAUCAGGAGGAAAACCGGUGGCGAAGGCGGCCUGCUGGACUGCAACUGACGUUGAGGCCGAAAGCGUGGGGAGCAAACAGGAUUAGAGACCCUAGUAGUC